GCAUUGGUAGCUUAAAUAAGAGCAUAGCACUGAAGAUGCUAGGGUGGCAAGUCUUGCCUCAAAGCA
rnacentral:tRNA from 2 species